UACGUAGGGUGCAAGCGUUAAUCGGAAUUACUGGGCGUAAAGCGUGCGCAGGCGGUUUUGUAAGUCUGACGUGAAAUCCCCGGGCUCAACCUGGGAAUUGCGUUGGAGACUGCAAGGCUGGAGCCUGGCAGAGGGGGGUAGAAUUCCACGUGUAGCAGUGAAAUGCGUAGAGAUGUGGAGGAACACCGAUGGCGAAGGCAGCCCCCUGGGUCAAGACUGACGCUCAUGCACGAAAGCGUGGGGAGCAAACAGG
rnacentral:rRNA from 1 species